GAGCGGGAGUAAACUUCUGCGAAAGGGCUAUAAUAGCAGGGAUAGGAAAUUGGUUUUAAGUUAAAAGAGGAAGAUUUAGUUGGAUGUUAGGGGAAAGUUCUUUACUAGAAGAGUGGUUAGGUCCGGUGGAACAGGCUGGCACAGUGCUGCCCAGUGAGGUUGUGGAUGCCCCGUCCUUGGAGGUGUUCAAGACCAGGUUGGACGGGGCCCUGGGCAACCUGAUCUAGUAAAGGCAUAUGUUUGGUGGCCCUGCUAGGCAGGGGGGUUGGAACUACAUGAUCCUUGAGGUCCCUUCCAACCCGGGUAAUUCUGUGAUUCUGUGACUGUGUAUGGGAUGAAAACACCCUCUGACCAUACACUGCUUUUCUCUUUCUUUGCCAGAGAACCACUGUGAAGAGAUGGGUGAGUCCCCUCCAAAAACACUGGGAUCUUCCUAUGGGAGCUGUGGAAUGAAAUGCUCCUCCCAUCACAAACUGUUUCUGCUUUUGCUUUAUAGAUUCAAUUGUUGCAGUUCUGAAGAAACACACUGCAGAACUGGGUGAGUGCUCCCUCUCAAAGCAGAAAUAAAGGGGCAUCAGCCUGUGUGAGCUGUGGGAUGAGAUGCUGCUAACAUCCUAUGUUGCAUUUCUCUUACUUUUCCAGAGGUCCACAGUUCUGAAAUGGAGAGAAGGGAUGAAAUGUUGGAGGAACAAGUUGCAAAACUGGGUGAGUGCCCCUACCCAAAUUAAAAGGAAGAGGUCCUAUCUGUUUCAGCUGUGGGAUGAGACAUUCCUCUCUCUCAUCACGUGUUUCUUUUCUUUCUCUUUUCCAGUGGAACAAACUGAAGCAUUUCGUGAGUCUUUCCCAACCCAAAGCAAUGUGGGGUUUCCCAUAAGAUGACAGGCUGUCCCACCUCAGCAUCCGUUGCUUUUCUCUUUAUUCUCCAGAAAAACCAUCCAGAAGAGGACUGGAAGAUGAGCCGUGCCACACAGUAACCAUAGGAGAUGAGCUUCAUGGACCACAGAUUGCACAGGAUACCAAACCCACGAUAAGUCCAAGCCAGCAAGGAAACCCACAGCAGGACCAAGAGGAGCCAGUGUCUGUAUUGAGUGAGAACCCUGCAGUUCUGUGAGCCAAAGCUGACCAAGGGGGCACCGAGCUGAGGAUGUGCGACCUCCAACUCAAAUCCAAUUGCAAGAGAAUAACCAUAGUAAGAAAUGGUAACAGGAUGAAGCCAGAGAGCCUGGAUAAGAUACGGUCACAUUCGGAAAUAAUUUGGCCAUGUAUCAGGGUUUGUGGACAUGUAAGCAAUAUCUAACACUUUUGGAUACAUAAGAAUGCACUGAGGUAGAGAACUGCUUUGGGUGCUAACACCAUUCUCUAUUGUAAUAUAAUAAACGAUACCUGCUGGUGGUUGUCA
rnacentral:lncRNA from 1 species